rnacentral:rRNA from 1 species
UACAGAGGGUGCAAGCGUUAAUCGGAAUUACUGGCGUAAAGCGUGCGUAGACGGUCAUGUAAGUCGGGUGUGAAAGCCCCGGGCUCAACCUGGGAAUUGCAUUCGAGACUGCAUGGCUAGGAUGCGGAAGAGGGAAGCGGAAUUUCCGGUGUAGCGGUGAAAUGCGUAGAUAUCGGAAGGAACACCAGUGGCGAAAGCGGCUUCCUGGUCCAGCAUCGA